rnacentral:rRNA from 1 species
GACGAACGCUGGCGGCGUGCCUAAUACAUGCAAGUCGAACGCACUCUCGUUUAGAUUGAAGGAGUUUGCUCCUGAUUGAUAAACAUUUGAGUGAGUGGCGGACGGGUGAGUAACACGUGGGUAACCUGCCCUAAAGUGGGGGAUAACAUUUGGAAACAGAUGCUAAUACCGCAUAAAACCUAACACCGCAUGGUGUAGGGUUGAAAGAUGGUUUCGGCUAUCACUUUAGGAUGGACCCGCGGUGCAUUAGUUAGUUGGUGAGGUAAAGGCUCACCAAGACCGUGAUGCAUAGCCGACCUGAGAGGGUAAUCGGCCACACUGGGACUGAGACACGCCCCAGACUCCUACGGGAGGCAGCAGUAGGGAAUCUUCCACAAUGGACGAAAGUCUGAUGGAGCAACGCCGCGUGAGUGAAGAAGGUUUUCGGAUCGUAAAACUCUGUUGUUGGAGAAGAAUGUAUCUGAUAGUAACUGAUCAGGUAGUGACGGUAUCCAACCAGAAAGCCACGGCUAACUACGUG